rnacentral:lncRNA from 1 species
AUGGGAGGGAAGGGAGGGGACGGGGGGAAGUGCGGUGCGAGUUGCGCUCCAUCGGCGGCGGGGCGCGGGUCGUUCGGCGGCGGUGGCGGCGCUCGGGGCCGAGGAGCUCGGCGGGACCACGUUGGGAGAGCUGCCGGGCCGGCGGCGGGCGGGAGGGGGAGGAGGCGACCUCCCCCCCCCCCCCCCCCCCCCCCCCCCCCCCCCCCCCCCCACGUCCCCCCCAGGUCGGGACCCUCCGGGCAACCUGAGGCGGGGGCUGCGGCCCCGCUGAGGGAGGAGGAGCAGCAGCAGCAGCAGCCGCCCCCGCUUCACGAGCGGUGCCCACCCGCCCCUCUCUGCCCAGAGGACCCCCGUAGCGCCAGCAACACGUGGAGCCCGAGCGAGGAGGAGAAAUACGGCGUGGAGCACUUUGCUUGCUCAUGGUUACGCUGUGGGAUGUGUUUGGCCAAUUCCUUCAGGACUUCCGCUGUUUGCUGGUGGGAUGGGGGAAAAGCUCUCUGGCCCUGGCCACAAUCAUGCUCAUCUCCUAAGGAUGACAAUUCUCAGGUAUACAACCUAUGUGUGCUCAACUACCAGUAUCUCUCCAACAGUGAUGAGCAAUGUUUUGUGAUGGGAGUUGGCAGUUUCAGACAUACAUUUCCUACAAAUGUUAUGAAAGUUGCUGAUGGGAUGGGAAGAGGAGAAUUUUCUAAUGAUUUGCAAUACGAAUGCAAGUAAGCAGUUGCUGACUCACUGAGAAAAAUAGGUAAGAAAGUUCUCUCAGGAGUUUUCCUAGUCCAACUUGUUUUUUUUCUGGAGGACGUGGAGGGGGAGCUGUUAGUGUGAAUGUGUCCAGAUGAUUUUGCCAGCUGUUAAUUUAAUACUCCUGCCCCUUCUGUCUUCUGGUCUCAUUAAUGAAGCCUCACAUACACGUCGGACCCAGAGGAACUGCUGUUUGAGCAGGUUCAAAGCAGAGGAAGGCGUUUCUUCUGCUGUGGCCCAGCAGUUCAGACACACAGUUAAGGCAUUUAUGUCCUGGUGAUGGUUACUGUGUGUGGCCAAAGCUUUCCUCUUCGAUGGAGUUCUGGUUUAACUGCUGGCUGAAAAGAACUUCUAUGGCAUCCUUACAAACUUGGCUGAUGAGAAGGGGUUUAAUACCUGGAAGCAGGUUGUGGUCCCAGCCCUUGGGAUCCCACUGGUGGCACUGUGCUGUGUGCAGGUGCUGGGCAGCCAGUCCGUGGGCUCUGGGCCUGCGUGCUGAGGUCAAAGGGCUUGGGUGGCUGAGUUGUGUCUGUGCCUGUGUAAGUUUGUACAUGCUGAUGGGCAGACACGGGACUAGGGGCAGGGGGAAGUGGGGAAUAAAUCACAGUUUUUAAAUCUGUGUUUAAAAUUG